rnacentral:rRNA from 1 species
UACGGGAGGCAACAGUGGGGAAUAUUGCACAAUGGGCGCAAGCCUGAUGCAGCCAUGCCGCGUGUAUGAAGAAGGCCUUCGGGUUGUAAAGUACUUUCAGUCGUGAGGAAGGUGUUAAGGUUAAUAACCUUAGCAAUUGACGUUAGCGACAGAAGAAGCACCGGCUAACUCCGUGCCAGCAGCCGCGGUAAUACGGAGGGUGCGAGCGUUAAUCGGAAUUACUGGGCGUAAAGGGCACGCAGGCGGUUAAUUAAGUUGGAUGUGAAAUCCCCGGGCUUAACCUGGGAAUGGCAUUCAAGACUGGUUAGCUAGAGUCUUGUAGAGGGGGUAGAAUUCCAUGUGUAGCGGUGAAAUGCGUAGAGAUGUGGAGGAAUACCGGUGGCGAAGGCGGCCCCUGGACAAAGACUGACGCUCAUGUGCGAAAGCGUGGGGAGCAAACAGGGAUUAGAUACC